AUUGAACGCUGGCGGCAUGCUUUACACAUGCAAGUCGAACGGUAACAGGCCUUCGGGUGCUGACGAGUGGCGAACGGGUGAGUAAUGCAUCGGAACGUACCCAGAGGUGGGGGAUAACGCAGCGAAAGCUGUGCUAAUACCGCAUGUGAUCUGAGGAUGAAAGCGGGGGACCGAGCAGCAAUGUUUGGCCUCGCGCCUUUGGAGCGGCCGAUGUCGGAUUAGCUAGUUGGUGGGGUAAAGGCCUACCAAGGCGACGAUCCGUAGCUGGUCUGAGAGGACGACCAGCCACACUGGGACUGAGACACGGCCCAGACUCUUACGGGAGGCAGCAGUGGGGAAUUUUGGACAAUGGGCGCAAGCCUGAUCCAGCAAUGCCGCGUGCGGGAAGAAGGCCUUCGGGUUGUAAACCGCUUUUGGCAGGAACGAAACGGUGUCCGCUAAUACCGGGCGCUAAUGACGGUACCUGCAGAAUAAGCACCGGCUAACUACGUG
rnacentral:rRNA from 1 species